rnacentral:rRNA from 1 species
GAUGGACGCUGGCGGCGUGCCUAAUACAUGCAAGUCGAGCGAACAGAUGAGGAGCUUGCUCCUCUGACGUUAGCGGCGGACGGGUGAGUAACACGUGGAUAACCUACCUAUAAGACUGGGAUAACUUCGGGAAACCGGAGCUAAUACCGGAUAAUAUAUUGAACCGCAUGGUUCAAUAGUGAAAGACGGUUUUGCUGUCACUUAUAGAUGGAUCCGCGCCGCAUUAGCUAGUUGGUAAGGUAACGGCUUACCAAGGCAACGAUGCGUAGCCGACCUGAGAGGGUGAUCGGCCACACUGGAACUGAGACACGGUCCAGACUCCUACGGGAGGCAGCAAUAGGGAAUCUUCCGCAAAGGGCGAAAGCCUGACGGAGCAACGCCGCGUGAGUGAUGAAGGUCUUCGGAUCGUAAAACUCUGUUAUUAGGGAAGAACAAAUGUGUAAGUAACUAUGCACGUCUUGACGGUACCUAAUCAGAAAGCCACGGCUAACUACGUG